UACGUAGGGUGCGAGCGUUGUCCGGAAUUCUUGGGCGUAAAGGGCGCGUAGGCGGCCAUUCAAGUGCCGGGUGAAAGCCCUCGGCUUAACCGAGGAACUGCCUGUCAGACUGGAUGGCUUGAGACAGGGAGAGGUGAGUGGAAUUCCCAGUGUAGCGGUGAAAUGCGUAGAUAUUGGGAGGAACACCAGUGGCGAAGGCGGCUCACUGGACCGGAACUGACGCUGAGGCGCGAAAGCGUGGGGAGCAAACAGG
rnacentral:rRNA from 1 species